CCCAAGCCUUCUGGCGAUCUAGACAAAACAAGUCCACCGUGGGCUUUGAAAAACGCUUUCCUUGAUAAAAUUUAAGCGUUUUAUAAGAGGAUGCCGGGGAAGGUUUUCCGGUUUAUCCCGGAGGGCUUGUAGCUCAGUUGGUUAGAGCGCGCGCUUGAUAAGCGUGAGGUCGGAGGUUCAAGUCCUCCCAGGCCCACCAGUUUAUCCAUUACUUUCAUAAGUGCUUUUAAAAAAUAAGUACUUCUAAAAAGAUUGCUUCUAAAAAGCUUAUCAAAAUUGGCAGGCUUAUUGCUUUUGUGUGAGUAAUCCAAAGUUAAAGCAAAUUAAUGGCAAAAAAACAGUUCAAAUGCUAAAUACUAAGGAGUCAAAAUUCCUUGCAAAGUGAUUUUUACAGCGUCCAUUUGGUUGAUAUAAAUUCCAAAUGCUCAUAGACGUCAAUGCCUAUAUGAAACUAUCGGUUCAAUCAUAUCGCUUUGAGUUAUAUAGAUUUUGUAAUCCCUCUUUUGAUCGUUUUAAACGCUUUAUUCUGAUUUAGGGGCCGUAGCUCAGCUGGGAGAGCACCUGCUUUGCAAGCAGGGGGUCGUCGGUUCGAUCCCGUCCGGCUCCACCAUGGGGUCAUCAUCAUUGUUGUAAGAACA
rnacentral:tRNA from 1 species